GUCUGAGAAGUGAGGAGACCCUCUGCCCGGCAACCACCCCGUCUGAGAAGUGAGGAGACCCUCCACCCGGCAGCUGCCCCGUCUGAGAAAUGAGGAGCCUCUCCGCCCGGCAGCCACCCCGUCUGGGAAGUGAGGAGCGUCUCCGCCCGGCAGCCACCCCGUCCGGGAGGGAGGUGGGGGGGGUCAGCCCCCCCGCCAGGCCAGC
rnacentral:lncRNA from 1 species